rnacentral:rRNA from 1 species
ACUCAAAUGAAUAGACGGGGGCCCGCACAAGCAGUGGAGCAUGUGGUUUAAUUCGAAGCAACGCGAAGAACCUUACCAGGUCUUGACAUCCUUUGACCACUCUGGAGACAGAGCUUCCCCUUCGGGGGCAAAGUGACAGGUGGUGCAUGGUUGUCGUCAGCUCGUGUCGUGAGAUGUUGGGUUAAGUCCCGCAACGAGCGCAACCCUUGACCUUAGUUGCCAGCAUUUAGUUGGGCACUCUAAGGUGACUGCCGGUGACAAACCGGAGGAAGGUGGGGAUGACGUCAAAUCAUCAUGCCCCUUAUGACCUGGGCUACACACGUGCUACAAUGGAUGGUACAAAGGGUUGCGAAGCCGCGAGGUGAAGCCAAUCCCAUAAAGCCAUUCUCAGUUCGGAUUGUAGGCUGCAACUCGCCUGCAUGAAGCUGGAAUUGCUAGUAAUCGCGGAUCAGCAUGCCGCGGUGAAUACGUUCCCGGGCCUUGUACACACCGCCCGU